rnacentral:rRNA from 1 species
GACGAACCGAGCGAACGUUGUUCGGAAUCACUGGGCUUAAAGGGCGCGUAGGCGGGCUGUCAAGUCUGGGGUGAAAUCCCGCGGCUCAACCGUGGAACUGCCUCAGAUACUGACGGUCUCGAGGGAGGUAGGGGCGAGCGGAACGAAUGGUGGAGCGGUGAAAUGCGUUGAUAUCAUUCGGAACUCCGGUGGCGAAGGCGGCUCGCUGGACCUCUUCUGACGCUGAGGCGCGAAAGCCAGGGGAGCAAACGGG